rnacentral:lncRNA from 10 species
GUAGCACCAUGGAAUUUUACUGUUUUGGUAUUUAUUAUGCUCUCAAAUCAUUGCAGCCUUGUAUAAGCAAGUGUGUGACUUUUUCCUCCAGGGAGGUCACUCAGAGGCAAUGGCAAAGGGAGGCUCUGGGGCCCAGCACACUUCCUGCCUGGCUGCCUGAGUUCAUCCCCUCAGCGUCCUCUGCUAUGCUGUGUCAGCAGGCCAGGAUCCUGUAGGGGCUCACACUCAGCAAAGCUGGAGACGUGUCUCCCCAUAAAUACCAAGCACAAGCUGGAGGCCUG